rnacentral:rRNA from 1 species
CCUACGGGUGGCAGCAGUGAGGAAUAUUGGUCAAUGGGCGAGAGCCUGAACCAGCCAAGUCGCGUGAGGGAGUACUGCCCUAUGGGUUGUAAACCUCUUUUGUCAGGGAGCAAAAGCCGGACGUGUCCGGCUGUUAGAGUACCCGAAUAAAAAACAUCGGCUAACUCCGGUCCAGCAGCCGCGGUAAUACGGAGGAUGCGAGCGUUAUCCGGAUUUAUUGGGUUUAAGGGGUGCGCAGGCGGAUGUUUAAGUCAGCGGUAAAAUCGUGGGGCCAAACCCCAUCCAGCCGUUGAAACUGGGGAUCUAGAGUGUGCGAGAGGUAUGCGGAAUGCGUGGUGUAGCGGUGAAAUGCAUAGAUAUCACGCAGAACCCCGAUUGCGAAGGCAGCAUACCGGUGCACAACUGACGCUCAGGCACGAAAGCGUGGGUAUCGAACAGGAUUAGAUACCCCGGUAGUC